GAUGAACGCUAGCGGGAGGCCUAACACAUGCAAGCCGAGCGGUAUGGAUAGCUUGCUAUCCAGAGAGCGGCGUACGGGUGCGUAACACGUGUGCAACCUACCUUUAUCUGGGGGAUAGCCUUUCGAAAGGAAGAUUAAUACCCCAUAAUAUAAUGAUUGGCAUCAAUUAUUAUUGAAAACUCCGGUGGAUAGAGAUGGGCACGCGCAAGAUUAGAUAGUUGGUGAGGUAACGGCUCACCAAGUCAAUGAUCUUUAGGGGUCCUGAGAGGGAGAUCCCCCACACUGGUACUGAGACACGGACCAGACUCCUACGGGAGGCAGCAGUGAGGAAUAUUGGACAAUGGGUGAGAGCCUGAUCCAGCCAUCCCGCGUGAAGGAUGACGGUCCUAUGGAUUGUAAACUUCUUUUGUACAGGGAUAAACCUACCCUCGUGAGGGUAGCUGAAGGUACUGUACGAAUAAGCACCGGCUAACUCCGUG
rnacentral:rRNA from 1 species